rnacentral:rRNA from 1 species
CGCACGAGAACGUUCACCUUCGGGUGAAUCAGUAAAGUGGCGCACGGGUGAGUAACGCGUGGAUAAUCUGCCUUCAAGACGGGAAUAACAUUGCGAAAGCGAUGCUAAUACCGGAUAAGCUCACGAUUUGAUUGGUUGUGGGAAAAGAUGGCCUAGUCUAUGCUAUCGCUUGAAGAUGAGUCCGCGUACCAUUAGCUUGUUGGUAGGGUAAUGGCCUACCAAGGCUUCGAUGGUUAGCUGGCCUGAGAGGGCGGCCAGCCACACUGGAACUGAGACACGGUCCAGACUCCUACGGGAGGCAGCAGUGGGGAAUAUUGCGCAAUGGGGGAAACCCUGACGCAGCGACGCCGUGUGAGUGAUGAAGGUUUUCGGAUCGUAAAGCUCUGUCAGGUGGGAAGAAUAAGGUCUGUGAAAAUAUUGCAGUCCGAUGACGGUACCACCAGAGGAAGCACCGGCUAACUCCGUG